UAAGAAGCCAGACUUUCCAGGCUGCAAGGUGCGAUUAUUUUUAGUACAUAUUUUUAGUACAAAACGAAAUAAGUAUACUGUUUAAAGAAAUGGGAACCUUGCACUUAGAUAUCAUGCAUUCACAGCAACAGUUGUGGAACAGCGCCAUUUUUAUUGUUUGCAAGUUUUCUACAGAGUUUCUAGUUUCAUGGAAGGUGGUAAAAUCCAAAGCUGCAUCGUAAACGUGCUUGAUGAAAGGGUGCCUGGAUCGAAAUAGCUGAAAGGAAAAAAUAUUUAUAGUGCGCAACCGGUAAAGCCUCGUUUUACGUUUACUGAUCUUUAGAGGAAUGCUGUUAUCCCAAGGUAAAAUUGUUUUCGAAUGAUAGCACCUACCCGGGAAUUGCAUGAUGCUGAAACGUUUAGAAGAGGCUAUAAAUGCCAAAGAAAAAGGAUAAAAAAAAUGAAAGCUGAAAUCAUUUAAAAAUUUACAAUACUUAUAGA